rnacentral:pre_miRNA from 1 species
GGGGGAGUGCAGUAUCCUGGGCUGGGUCCCCGGCGCCCUGUGCUUCCAGGGCCUGCGCUGUCGGAUUCGCGCUCCCCGUGCAGCCCCUU